AUUUCAGGAGCAGCAGGAAAAGACAUUGACUGUGAAAAUGCCUCCCAGCCUCAGGCUGAGAUUCCUCUCUUCCCCCUGACACUGCCUGAAAAGCACCAGGCUUUCCUUCGGGAGAUUAUCAUUCUCUCUUCCUUCUCCGUGACUAGGAACACUUGGAGCUUGAUGGAUAGCCUGGGGUGGUGGUUGGCGCCUGUAAUCCCAGCUACUCGGGAGGCUGAGGCAGGAGAAUCGCUUGAACCUGGGAGGUGGAGGUUGCAGUGAGCCGAGAUUGUGCCAUUGCACUCCAGCCUGGGCGAUAAGACCAAGACUCCGUUAUAUAUAUUCAUGAUAUAUAUGUAUGUUUGUUUACACUAUGGAAAAACUAUAAACCCAUGAGCUGGGGUUUUGUCUUUUUUUUUUUGACUUAGGUUUUCUAUUCUCAAAGGCAUUAAUCAGCACCCUUUUUCUCACCCUUUGUUAUCAACAUAUAAGCAGGCUAGAAAGACAGUAUUUUAUUCCAAUGUGAAACAAAACUGCUGAUCUGGAGGUCUUAUGUUAUAAAUUCCCACAUCAUACCUUCAACUAUAUAUAUGUCCUGAAACUAGCAUAUUUUGAGAAUAAAAUGGUAAAUGACAUUUAAAGGACACCUAUGGUUAAUCCUACAGUAAAUGAGAUAAUUUAUUUUGAAAUGAAUGAUCAACUCUACGCUCCAAAUUUUCACGUAAAAGGUGUUCAGUGCUGUGGCAUUUCUGCACACUGCCCCAGGCACUAUAGCAAGAUAAUUAAGACAUGGUCCAGUCUUCAAGGGGAUUACAAUCCCAUGGCUAAAAAAUCACCUAUAUAAAGAUAAUACAAAGAGACAAUGAUACUUUUUUUUAAAAAAAAAAAGACAGAUGUUUCCUGCGAAUCAAG
rnacentral:lncRNA from 1 species